CCUACGGGUGGCAGCAGUGGGGAAUAUUGCCCAAUGGGGGAAACCCUGAUGCAGCGACGCCGCGUGAACGAUGAAGUCUUUCGGUAUGUAAAGCUCUUUGAGCAGGGAAGAAAAUUACGGUACCUGCCUAAAACUACCCGGCUAACUCCGUGCCAUCAGCCGCGUGACUACGGAGGGGGCAAGCGUUAUCCGGGUGUACUGGGUGUAAAGGGGGCGUAGAGGGCGGGGCAAGCCAGAUGUGAAAGCCCGGGGCUCAACCCCGGGACUGCAUUUGUAACUGUGUGGCUGGAGUGUUGGAGAGGCAGGCGGAAUUCCUAGUGUAGCGGUGAAAUGCGUAGAUAUUAGGAGGAACACCAGUGGCGAAGGCGGUCUGCUGGACGAUGACUGACGGUGAGGCUCGAAAGCGUGGGGAGCAAACAGGAUUAGAUACCCCUGUAGUC
rnacentral:rRNA from 1 species